rnacentral:rRNA from 1 species
GACGAACGCUGGCGGCGUGCUUAACACAUGCAAGUCGAACGGUAAGGCCCUGCUUUUGUGGGGUGCUCGAGUGGCGAACGGGUGAGUAACACGUGAGUAACCUGCCCUUGACUUUGGGAUAACUUCAGGAAACUGGGGCUAAUACAGGAUAGGAGAUCCUGCUGCAUGGUGGUGGUUGGAAAGAUUCGGCGGUUGGGGAUGGAAUCGCGGCUUAUCAGCGUGUUGGUGAGGUAGUGGCUUACCAAGGCAUUGACGGGUAGCCGGCCUGAGAGGGUGACCGGCCACAUUGGGAUUGGGAUGCGGCCCAGAGUCCUACGGGAGGCAGCAGUGGAGAAUAUUGCACGAUGGGCGGAAGCCGUAUGCAGCAACGCCGCGUGCGGGAUGACGGCCUUCGGGUUGUAAACCGCGUUCGCCUGUGACGCAGCGUGAGUGACGGUAAUGGGUAAAGAAGCACCGGCUAACUACGUG